CCUGAAUAGAGUCACCUUGUAAUAACUGGGAACUCUUCCCCUGAAGACACCUGGUUAAUUCACUUGCAACCUGUUUCCAGAUUUGCCAGCAGGACAGCUCUUGAUUUGAAAGGUAUGUAAGCACCUUUGGACUUCUGGAAAUGUCCAAUUCAAAACUGCUAAAGAACUACUGGAAACUGAUGAACUAUAAUACCUGCCAUAUUGCCACUGAUGAUUUUUGAUAGUGAAGUUCUACAUUCCAACAACUGUGAAUAGCUUUUAUCUUCUAAGGUUAGUAGGUUUGAAUAUUUACAUGUCCAAAAAUGUCUUAGAAAUUACUAAUUAUGUUAGACAUUCACUAGAAGACAGUGUUCCCAAAUAAUUAAUCACACUGGUGUGCUCUCAAUCUAUGAGCUAACUCUGAGUAAAAGGGAUGUGAUGUCUACUUGUCUCCAUUCUCUGUAAGUUUUUUGUUAAGAAUUCUUAUAAAAACAAACCCUUUGGCUGGGCAUGGUGGUUCAUGCCUGUAAUCCCAGCAUUUUGGGAAGCUGAGACAGGUGGACCACGAUCUCAGGAGUUCGAGACCAGCCUGGCCAACAUGGUGAAACCCCAUCUCUACUAAAAAUACAAAAAUUAGCCGGGCGUGGUGGCAGGUGCCUGUAAUCCCAGCUACUCGGGAGGCUAAAGCAGAAUUGCUUGAACCCAGGAGGCGAAGGUUGCAGUGAGCCAAGAUCACGCCACUGCACUCCAGCCUGGGUGACACAGUGAGACUACAUCUUGGGGAGGUGGGGGAGGAGCCAAGGGAAGCCCUUUAAUAUGUGUUCCUCUGACUUAUGAAGAAUGUUUUAGAAUAUUACUUGUACAUGGAGCAUGGUUGCAAAAUCCUGAAACAUGCUGAAGGCAUCAAAGAAAAACCUUUGAGAUAGGGUGGCAGAAAAUGCUACAAGAUUUGUUAAAAGAAAGACUUUGUUUAUUAUGCAAAAAUGAAAAGUAACAAUACCUAGGAUAAU